CCUACGGGUGGCAGCAGUGGGGAAUAUUGGACAAUGGGGGGAACCCUGAUCCAGCCAUGCCGCGUGUGUGAAGAAGGCCCUCGGGUUGUAAAGCACUUUCAGUGAGGAAGAACGCCUGGUGGUUAAUACCCAUCAGGAAAGACAUCACUCACAGAAGAAGCACCGGCUAACUCCGUGCCAGCAGCCGCGGUAAUACGGAGGGUGCGAGCGUUAAUCGGAAUUACUGGGCGUAAAGCGCGCGUAGGUGGCUUGAUAAGCCGGUUGUGAAAGCCCCGGGCUCAACCUGGGAACGGCAUCCGGAACUGUCAAGCUAGAGUGCAGGAGAGGAAGGUAGAAUUCCCGGUGUAGCGGUGAAAUGCGUAGAGAUCGGGAGGAAUACCAGUGGCGAAGGCGGCCUUCUGGACUGACACUGACACUGAGGUGCGAAAGCGUGGUAGCAAACAGGAUUAGAUACCCCAGUAGUC
rnacentral:rRNA from 1 species